rnacentral:rRNA from 1 species
UAGGGAAUCUUCCACAAUGGACGCAAGUCUGAUGGAGCAACGCCACGUGAGUGAAGAAGGUUUUCGGAUCGUAAAGCUCUGUUGUUGGUGAAGAAGGAUAGAGGCAGUAACUGGUCUUUAUUUGACGGUAAUCAACCAGAAAGUCACGGCUAACUACGUGCCAGCAGCCGCGGUAAUACGUAGGUGGCAAGCGUUGUCCGGAUUUAUUGGGCGUAAAGCGAGCGCAGGCGGAAUGAUAAGUCUGAUGUGAAAGCCCACGGCUCAACCGUGGAACUGCAUCGGAAACUGUCAUUCUUGAGUGCAGAAGAGGAGAGUGGAAUUCCAUGUGUAGCGGUGGAAUGCGUAGAUAUAUGGAAGAACACCAGUGGCGAAGGCGGCUCUCUGGUCUGCAACUGACGCUGAGGCUCGAAAGCAUGGGUAGCGAACAGG